rnacentral:rRNA from 1 species
UUGGAGGGCAAGUCUGGUGCCAGCAGCCGCGGUAAUUCCAGCUCCAAUAGCGUAUAUUAAAGUUGCUGCAGUUAAAAAGCUCGUAGUUGAAUUUCGGGACCAAUAUGUCGGUCGUGCCUCGGUACGUACUGGCAUCGUUGGUUUCUCCCUUCUGACGAACCAUGAUGUCAUUUAUUUGGUGUCGUGGGGAAUCAGGACUGUUACUUUGAAAAAAUUAGAGUGUUUAAAGCAGGCUAACGCUUGAAUACAUUAGCAUGGAAUAAUGAAAUAGGACGUUCGAUCCUAUUUUGUUGGUUUCUAGGAUUGACGUAAUGAUUAAUAGGGAUAGUUGGGGGCAUUAGUAUUCAAUUGUCAGAGGUGAAAUUCUUGGAUUUAUUGAAGACUAACUACUGCGAAAGCAUUUGCCAAGGAUGUUUUCAUUAAUCAAGAACGAAAGUUAGGGGAUCGAAGACGAUCAGAUACCGUCGUAGUCUUAACCAUAAACUAUGCCGACUAGGGAUCGGAUGAUGUUAAUUUUUUAAUGACUCAUUCGGCGCCNUACGGGAAACAA